rnacentral:misc_RNA from 1 species
AAGUCGUAACAAGGUUUCCGUAGGUGAACCUGCGGAAGGAUCAUUAUUGAAUAAACGUGGUUGGGUUGUUGCUGGCUUCUAGGAGCAUGUGCACGCUCACUCCAUUUUUAACCACCUGUGCACCUUGUGUAGAUCUGAACAAAUCUCGGGGAAACUCGGUCAGAGAAUUGCUGUGUGUUUAAAAGCCAGCUUUUCUUGGGUUCAGAUCUAUGUCCUCUAUAUACACCAUAUGAAUGUAUUCGAAUGUAAUUGAUAGGCGUUACAGCCUCUAAAAUCAAAUACAACUUUCAACAACGGAUCUCUUGGCUCUC